UAUCAAGGGAAACGCAGUCGCAAAUAAUGAGAUUUUUUUUGCAGCUCUCUCUCCUAUCGUUCUCUCUCUCUCCCUCGCUGUCUAAUCCUUUAAAUGUAAACUAGUUCAUGUACGAGGGCAGGGAAUCGAUGAUCGGAAACAGCCGGCGUUUGCUGGUGUGGCAUCAUCAAGAUUCUCACACAGCAGCAGGAUCCAGACCUUCACUCCCUCUUCCAGUGAGAAUCUUGAUGAUGCUGCAUCGGCAAUGGGCGGCUAUAUCUGAUAUCUGUUCUUCUCUUUGAAGCUAGAAGAACAGUUUGAUUCUAUUCAGGAAGAUGGUGUUGAACGUCUAUUUGAUGAUCUUCCUUUUUUGGCUGGCGUAUGCUUACAGCCCUAGUAGUUUGUUUUGCAUCUAUUGUAUUCUUAGGAUGAGGAACCACAGACUCGCAGGUCUUUUUCUUUCCUUUUUGAUUGUAGCUCGUUCGAGCAGUAGAGAGCUAGUGGUUCCUUUUAAGGACCAUGUAAUCGCAAUUUUGAUAUUAACACGUAGACCCCUAUGAGGAUUUUAAUUAAAAAAAAAA